UAUUGAGAUGUUCUGGAACCUUGAUGC
rnacentral:piRNA from 1 species